AUUUAAUAUUAAAUAUUAUUAUUUGUAUAAUUAUUAUAAUUUAUAUAAAAUUAUUUUAAAUUUAUAUAGUUUUAGUAAUUAAAAUUAAAAAAUUUAAUAAUUUAUAAUUUAUUUUAUUGUGAAAGAAUAUUAAUUAAUUAUUAAUAAGUAUUAUAAUAUUAAUUUCCUUUUGUAUCAGGAUUUAUUAAAAUAAAUUAUUUAUAAUAUUUAUCUCGAAAUUAAAAUAGUUAAUUUUAUAAAAUUUUUUUUGUUGCAUAAAAAUUAUUAAUAUAAAAUUGUAAAUUAUAUGUUAUUUGUUUUUAAUUAUAUCUAGUUUCUUAAAAAUUAAAUUUAAUUUAUAUAUAAUUUAUAAUUAUUUUAUAAUUAAAUUUAAUAAAAUAUUAAUUUUAUAUUUAAAAAUUAUGGGAUAAACUUUAAUUUAUUAUUAUAAUUUAUUUUAAAAUUAAUAAAAUUAUAUUUAUAAAAUUAUAAAUUAAUAUAAAUAAUUUUAUAAUUUAUUAUUAUGAAAUAAAAAUUUAAAUAAAAUUUAAAUUAAUAAUAUUAAGAAAUUUAUAUAAAUAAUAUUUAUUUAAAUAUAAUGAUAAAAUUAGUAAAUUAAAAUUGUUUAUAUUUAUUAUAUACAUAAUAUAUAAUUUUAAGGAACUCGGCAAUAAUAUUAUAUUCACCUGUUUAACAAAAACAUGGCUUAUUGAUAAUAAUUUUAAGUCUAUCUGCCCUAUGAAAUUAAUUAAAUGGCUGCAGUAUAAAUAACUGUGCAAAGGUAGCAUAAUCAAUUGGCUUUUAAUUAAAGUCUAGAAUGAAAGAAUUAAUGAAAUAUAUACUGUCUCAAUUUUAUAAAUUAAAUUUAAAUUUUUAAUAAAAAUGUUAAAAUAUAUUUAUGGGACGAUAAGACCCUAUAGAAUUUUAUAUUUUAUUAUAUAUAAAUAUAAAUAUAAAUAUUUAUAUAUAAUAAAAUAUUUAGUUGGGAGGAUUAUUUAAUUUAAUAAACUUAAAUAUAUAUAUAUCUAUAAUUUUAGAAUAAAUUAAUUGAUCUAAUAUUAUAAAUUAAUAGAAUAAAUUACCUUAGGGAUAACAGCGUAAUUUCUUUUUAAAGAUCGUAUUUAUAAAGAAGGUUGCGACCUCGAUGUUGAAUUAAGAUAAAUUUUAAAUGAAGAAAUUUAAAUAUUAAGUCUGUUCGACUUUUAAAAUCUUACAUGAUUUGAGUUCAGAUCGACGUAAGUCAGAUCGGUUUCUAUCUUUAAAAAAAUUUUAUUAUUUUGUACGAAAGGACUAAUAAUAAGUAAUAAUUUUUAAUUAAUUAUUAAUAAAUAAAUUAUU
rnacentral:rRNA from 1 species